CAUGCAAGUCGAGCGAGAACCCCGCAAGGGGGGACAGCGGCAAACGGGGUAGUAAUGUGUCGGAACGUGCCCAGAGGACGGGGUAUAGCGGCGGGAAACUGCCGGUAAUACCCGAUGAUCUCGAGAGAGCAAAGGUGUGAUUCCGCCUUUGGAGCGGCCGACAUGGUAUUAGCUAGUUGGCGGGGUAACGGCCCACCAAGGCUUUGAUGCCUAGGGGAUGUGAGAGCAUGAUCCCCACCAUUGGGACUGAGACACCGCCCAGACACCUACGGGUGGCUGCAGUCGAGAAUCUUCGUCAAUGGGCGAAAGCCUGAACGAGCGACGCCGCGUGCGGGAUGAAGGCCCUUGGGUUGUAAACCGCUGUCGAGGGGGAUGAAGGCAUUCAGGUACUCCUGAAUGUUUGACAGAGCCCUGGAGGAAGCACGGGCUAAGUUCGUGCCAGCAGCCGCGGUAAUACGAACUGUGCGAACGUUAUUCGGAAUCACUGGGCUUACAGGGUGCGUAGGCGGCUAUUCAGGUCAGGUGUGAAAGCCCUCGGCUCAACCGAGGAACUGCGCUUGAAACCGGAUGGCUCGAGUCAGCUAGAGGUACACGGAACUUCCAGUGGAGCGGUGAAAUGUGUUGAUAUUGGAAGGAACACCGGAGGCGAAAGCGGUGUACUGGGGCUGGUCUGACGCUGAGGCACGAAAGCCAGGGGAGCGAACGGGAUUAGAUACCCCGGUAGUCCUGGCCGUAAACGAUGAGUGCUGGACGGGAAGAGGUUCGCCUUCUCCGGUCGGAACGAAAGCCGGGAAGCACUCCGCCUGGGGAAUUAUGGUCGCAAAGGCUGAAACUCCAAAGGAAUUUACGGGGGCUUCACACA
rnacentral:rRNA from 1 species